rnacentral:misc_RNA from 1 species
CCAAUAGCGUAUAUUAAAGUUGUUGCAGUUAAAAAGCUCGUAGUUGAAUUUCGGGGUCAGUUGGUCGGUCGUGCCACUGGUAUGAACUGGUUUUACUGAUUCCUCCCUCUUGAAGAACUGUAAUGCCAUUAAUUUGGUGUUGCAGGGAAUCAGGACUGUUACUUUGAAAAAAUUAGAGUGUUUAAAGCAGGCUUUAGCUUGAAUACAUUAGCAUGGAAUAAUGAAAUAGGACGUUUGAUCCUAUUUUGUUGGUUUCUAGGAUUGACGUAAUGAUUAAUAGGGAUAGUUGGGGGCAUUAGUAUUCAAUUGUCAGAGGUGAAAUUCUUGGAUUUAUUGAAGACUAACUACUGCGAAAGCAUUUGCCAAGGAUGUUUUCAUUAAUCAAGAACGAAAGUUAGGGGAUCGAAGACGAUCAGAUACCGUCGUAGUCUUAACCAUAAACUAUGCCGACUAGGGAUCGGAUGAUGUUAAUUUUUUAAUGACUCAUUCGGCGCCUUACG